rnacentral:rRNA from 1 species
GGUGAACGCUAGCGGUGCGCCUAACACAUGCAAGUCGAGCGGUAGAAUCUUUUAGCUUGCUAAAAGAUUUGAGAGCGGCGAACGGGUGAGUAACACGUUGGAAUCUGCCCCCAAGUCAGGGAUAGCCAUUGGAAACGGUGAUUAAUACCGGAUGUGCUCUUCGGAGUAAAGAUUUAUCGCUUGGGGAGGAUCCUGCGUACUAUCAGCUUGUUGGUAAGGUAACGGCUUACCAAGGCUAUGACGGUUAACUGGUCUGAGAGGAUGAUCAGUCACAAUGAAACUGAGACACGGUUCAUACUCCUACGGGAGGCAGCAGUGAGGAAUCUUCCACAAUGGACGAAAGUCUGAUGGAGCGACACCGCGUGAAGGAUGAAGGUCUAACGAUUGUAAACUUCUUUUCUGAGGGAGCAAAAUGAGAGUACCUCAGGAAUAAGGGACGGCUAAUUACGUGCCAGCAGCCGCGGUAAUACGUAAGUCCCAAGCGUUACCCGGAAUUAUUGGGUGUAAAGGGUCCGUAGGUGGGAUUACAAGUCAGGUAUGAAAGACCGGAGCUCAACUCCGAGUUUGUGCUUGAAACUGUAGUUCUAGAAUCAGGGAGAGGUUAGCGGAAUUCUUAGUGUAGGGGUGCAAUCCGUAGAUACUAAGAAGAACACCAAAAGCGAAGGCAGCUAACUGGAACUCGAUUGACACUGAGGGACGAAAGCGUGGGGAGCAAAGAGGAUUAGAUACCCUCGUAGUCCACGCCCUAAACGAUGGUAACUAAGUGUUGCGCAUUGGCGCAGUGCUGAAGCUAACGCGAUAAGUUAUCCACCUGAGGAGUACGGUCGCAAGAUUA